GACGAACGCUGGCGGCGUGCUUAACACAUGCAAGUCGAACGGUGAAGCGCCUUCCUUUUUGGUGGGUGUGGAUGAGUGGCGAACGGGUGAGUAACACGUGAGUAACCUGCCCCCCUCUUCUGGAUAACCGCAUGAAAGUGUGGCUAAUACGGGAUAUUCUGGGUCUGUCGCAUGAUGGGUCUGGGAAAGAUAUUGUUUCGGUGGGGGAUGGGCUCGCGGCCUAUCAGCUUGUUGGUGGGGUGAUGGCCUACCAAGGCGGUGACGGGUAGCCGGCCUGAGAGGGUGGACGGUCACACUGGGACUGAGACACGGCCCAGACUCCUACGGGAGGCAGCAGUGGGGAAUAGUGCACAAUGGGCGCAAGCCUGAUGCAGCGACGCCGCGGGAGGGAUGGAGGCCUUCGGGUUGUGAACCUCUUUCGCCAGUGAAGCAGGCCUGCCUCGUUUGUGGGUGGGUUGACGGUAGCUGGAUAAGAAGCGCCGGCUAACUACGUG
rnacentral:rRNA from 1 species